rnacentral:tRNA from 1 species
GGCGACGUGGCGGAGAGGCUACGCAGCGGCCUGCAAAGCCGUGUACGCCGGUUCGAAUCCGGCCGUCGCCUC